GGGAAUAUUGGACAAUGGGCGCAAGCCUGAUCCAGCAAUGCCGCGUGGGUGAAGAAGGUUUUCGGAUUGUAAAGCCCUUUCGGCGGGGACGAUGGUGACGGCAGCCGCAGAAGAAGCUCCGGCCAACUUCGUGCCAGCAGCCGCGGUAAUACGAAGGGGGCCAGCGUUGCUCGGGAUUACUGGGCGUCAAGGGCGCGGAGGCGGUUGGUACAGUCAGAUGUGAAAUUCCUGGGCUUAACCUGGGGGCUGCAUUUGAUACGUGCUGGCUUGAGUGGGGAAGAGGGUCGUGGAAUUCCCAGUGUAGAGGUGAAAUUCGUAGAUAUUGGGAAGAACACCGGUGGCGAAGGCGGCGACCUGGUCCUUGACUGACGCUGAGGCGCGAAAGCGUGGGGAGCAAAC
rnacentral:rRNA from 1 species